AUUGAACGCUGGCGGCAGGCCUAACACAUGCAAGUCGAACGAGUGGCGGACGGGUUAGUACUGUCUGGGAAACUGCCUUAUGGAGGGGGCUAACUACUGGAAACGGUAGCUAAUACCGCAUACCAUCAGAUGUGCCCAGAUGGGAUUAGCUUGUUGGUGGGUUAACGGCUCACCACGGCGACGAUCCCUAGCUGGUCUGAGAGGAUGACCAGCCACACUGGAACGGAGACACGGUCCAGACUCCGACGGGAGGAAGCAGUGGGGAAUAUUGAACAAUGGGCGAAAGCCUGAUGCAGCCAUGCCGCGUGUAUGAAGAAGGCCUUCGGGUUGUAAAGUACUUUCAGUGGGGAGGCGUUACCCGCAGAAGAAGCACCGGCUAACGCCGUGCCAGCAGCCGCGGUAAUAC
rnacentral:rRNA from 1 species